rnacentral:rRNA from 1 species
AGCGGCGGACGGGUGAGUAACGCGUGGGUAACCUGCCCUAUACACACGGAUAACAUACCGAAAGGUAUGCUAAUACGAGAUAAUAUAAGAGAUUCACAUGGAUUUCUUAUCAAAGCUGAGGCGGUAUAGGAUGGACCCGCGUCUGAUUAGCUAGUUGGUAAGGUAACGGCUUACCAAGGCGACGAUCAGUAGCCGACCUGAGAGGGUGAUCGGCCACAUUGGAACUGAGACACGGUCCAAACUCCUACGGGAGGCAGCAGUGGGGAAUAUUGCACAAUGGGCGAAAGCCUGAUGCAGCAACGCCGCGUGAGUGAUGAAGGCCUUCGGGUCGUAAAACUCUGUCCUCAAGGAAGAUAAUGACGGUACUUGAGGAGGAAGCCCCGGCUAACUACGUGCCAGCAGCCGCGGUAAUACGUAGGGGGCUAGCGUUAUCCGGAUUUACUGGGCGUAAAGGGUGCGUAGGUGGUCUCUUAAGUCAGGAGUGAAAGGCUACGGCUUAACCGUAGUAAGCUCUUGAAACUGGGAGACUUGAGUGCAGGAGAGGAAAGUGGAAUUCCUAGUGUAGCGGUGAAAUGCGUAGAUAUUAGGAGGAACACCAGUAGCGAAGGCGGCUUUCUGGACUGUAACUGACACUGAGGCACGAAAGCGUGGGGAGCAAACAGGGUUAGAUACCCUGGUAGUCCACGCCGUAAACGAUGAGUACUAGGUGU